UAAUUAUCAAGCCUAAGCCUAAGCCUAAGCCUAAGCCUAAGCCUAAGCCUAAGCCUAAGCCUAAGCCUAAGCCUAAGUCUAAGCCUAAGCCUAAGCCUAAGCC
rnacentral:precursor_RNA from 1 species